ensembl:snRNA U2 U2 spliceosomal RNA
ACUGUUUCUCAGCCUUUUGGCAAAAAUCAAGUAUAGUGUCUGUUAUCAGUUUAAUAUCCAAUGUAUCCUCUAACAAAAGAGAGCAUGUUAUACGAGUUUUUGGAGCUAAGAGAUAGAAUAGGAACAGUUUAUGACCACUCCAUGCAUCGACCAAAUAUUGCAAUUCCUCCAGGAACAGUGCACCGUCU